AAAUUUCCAAAAACGGUCCGUUGAAGCUUGGUUGUGAUUUUUAAACCCUAAUAUGCCUAACACACAGUAACACCCCUCUUGGCCUCUCCUCUCCAGCACGCAGAAGCAGAACGCGAAGCAGCACCCAGUAACACCCUAGCCCUAGGUUCCUUGCCGCCGCCGUCCCCAGGUUCUCGGCGCCUCCACUUCUUACUCUUCCCCCUGUCCGGAACCCAGGUAGCUCAGCUCGUCGUCCCCAUCUUCCCUGGCUUCUCUGUUUGUGGCUUGGAGCAGCUCGCCGUUGGGUCGCCGCUUGCCGUCGCCUCGCCUAUCGCCGUCGUCUCGCCGGUUGCCAUCCGUGUCUUCGUCGAAGAAGGUUCAGUGUUGGCUUCAACUUUCAAAUGGGAAUUGGGAGCUGGUGAAGAUAAUAACAUGUUUUGGAACUAAGUCUGUUGUUUCACUGUUUGAUGGAAAAGUAAGAUAUGAUCUAGAAUUACAACAGUACACAGUGAUGUUUGUUACAUCUAUAGCUGGACUCAGUGAGACAACUGGAAAAUGUUAUUUUUAUUUAACCUUGUUAACAGUAUCUUGUACAAUUCAGACAAAAGCAGGGCCUAUUUUGGUUGCCAUAAAUCCCUUCAAGAAAGUUUCUCUGUAGAAUUAAAAGGGCCUGUUUUGUUUUACUUUUUGACUACAUUAAGACAAUAUUCUCUAUCUUUAACUUGUGCACUAUAAUUCAAUCCAGUUAUUUUUAAUGGAAA